rnacentral:rRNA from 1 species
AGCCUGAACGCUGGCGGCGUGGUUAAGACAUGCAAGUCGUACGGAUGUAGCAAUACAUCAGUGGCGAACGGGAGAGUAAUGAAUCGCUAAUGUACCCCGGACUCUGGGAUAGCUAGCCGAAAGGUUAGGUAAUACCAGAUGAUACACCUCUAUCGCAUGAUGGAGAAUUCAAAGGUCCGCCGGUCUGGGAGCAGGCGAUUUCGUAUCAGCUAGUUGGUGAGGUAACGGCUCACCAAGGCGACGACGCGUAGCCGGACUGAGAGGUUGGCCGGCCUCAUUGGGACUGAGACACUGCCCAGACUCCUACGGGGGGCUGCAGUAACGAAUCUUCCGCAAUGCACGAAAGUGUGACGGAGCGACGCCGCGUGUGGGACGAAGUCCCUCGGGAUGUAAACCACUGUCAAGGGUUACCAAGUUCUGAGGAGCCCUAGAGGAAGGCACGGCUAACUCUGCGCCAGCAGCCGCGGU